UACAGAGGGUGCGAGCGUUAAUCGGAAUUACUGGGCGUAAAGGGCGCGUAGGCGGCUAUAUAAGUUAUGUGUGAAAUCUCUGGGCUUAACCUGGGAACUGCCCAUAAUACUGUAUAGCUAGAGUAGAGUAGAGGAAAGUGGAAUUUCCGGUGUAGCGGUGAAAUGCGUAGAUAUCGGAAGGAACACCAGUGGCGAAGGCGGCUUUCUGGACUCAUACUGACGCUGAGGCGCGAAAGCGUGGGGAGCAAACAGG
rnacentral:rRNA from 1 species